AGCUAAAAGAUCAGUUUCAAAUCCAUUUUGCACUCUGUACUUGUUUUGAAGCAAGUGUAUGAAUAUUUAUGCCAAGUAUUUUUCCUUUUUGUGCUAGGUGACCAAGAAAGCCCUGGGGAAUUUAUAAAUUUCAUCCUGGCUGUGUUAAAAUUGAGAAAUGCAGGAGGGUUUGAGUUAAUGCACAUCUCUGGGACUACGGAGGAGCUGUCAACUUACACUUAUUCUCUGUCCCAACGAGGGCUACACAGUCAGACACUUAAGGACUCAGGGAACAUGAUACACCACGCCACACUCUACAUCCGGCUCCUGCAGAGGAGUUUGAGUAUGGACAAUUGACCUGCUCUGUGUGCCUGGAUAGCUCCUCAACUUUGAAGGGAGUCGUAUGUGUAAGCCUCCAGUACACAGCCUCUCCACCACCAAGACUCCUAGAGUGCCUCCCUGCGGCAACACAUGGUAGCUGGGUAUCAUGCAAUCCCAGACUGAACUGCAUUGGGAUCUCAGAGCAGCAGUGGGGCCCAGAGGCAUGUUGUGUAGUCCCACCAGUAAGUGGUUGCGCCCUGGUGGGGUUAAAUAGCACCCCUCCCCACCGGCCUACAUGUAACACCUGCGGCCGAGUCUGCCUCUCACAGAUUGGACUUCACAGCCACAGUAGACGCUGCACCAAAACCAAACUCCCAGGCACAAGAAAUCUAUGGUCUUCCGAGACUGCGAUGCUGCUGAUGAUGAGUAUAUGCAAAUGAACAAUGUUUAACUCACAUGUUGCCUGCACCCAGAGCUCCCCGCUCAUUUGUCAGCAAAAGUUUGGAGAAACUUUGGGGAUCUGCCUUAGACUACAAAUUAUGUUUCCACAUUUUCUGUAGUGGUGCCUUCAAGGGACGGUAAAAUGCGGAUCUCCCAAAACACUCCUGUCUACCAUGUUAUGCUAGCGAUAGGGAAAACCAGUCAUUAAGAUAUCACACUACUAAAUAUUUUAAAAUAUCAGUUUAUUUGGAAGAAAAUUAGUUUCAUGAUACGAGCCCGACUAUCACACUGUUGAAGAGUCUGGAAGAGGAAGCGACCACUGGAGUGACGUUACAGCCGCAGCCUGACUUCGGCUGUUGAGUUUCUCCGUGAUUCUUAACACCAACACAAACUAUCUUUACAACUUAUGAGGCCCAAUAUAGUGCUGUUUAGUAAGAUAAAACAGAGUAUGGAGGAGGAAGCAACCAUGGGAGCUGUAACAGUGGCAACAGAGAGAGAGGUGCUGCAGCCGGACAGGUGGCUCAUGACCUGGCUCGAGUGGCCACAACAAAAGGGAAACACACCAUGAUAAAGCAUCAACAAAAGAUAUUU